UGAGCAAUCUGCCCUUCUCUUCGGAAUAAGCGUUGGAAACGACGUCUAAUGCCGAAUACGACCUCCUUUCGCAUGAUCGGAGGUGGAAAGCUCCGGCGGAGAAGGAUGAGCUCGCGGCCUAUCAGCUUGUUGGUGAGGUAAUGGCUCACCAAGGCAUUGACGGGUAGCCGGCCUGAGAGGGUGACCGGCCACACUGGGACUGAGACACGGCCCAGACUCCGUAGGGAGG
rnacentral:rRNA from 1 species